UGUAGAGUAACGGAAAAGUCUCAGGAGAGGAGGCUUUUGUGAAGAUCAUGACAUAGUCUACAUCAAAGCUGCCAGAUACAGUUUCUGUGAUUGCUGUCGGAGCUCCUCGGUUUGUUAUGAGCAGAUGAAAAUCCAUCAUCAGCCAAUGACAGACCCUGCCUUUCCCUCACUCCAAUUUAAGGCAUGCGUGAACCUUCAACACAGUACCUUCUGCAGGUGUAACGCUGCCAGACACCGCCUGCGUAAGUUAUUCAAACAGAUCAAGCAGUAGAGGAGGAUCUGAACGACAUUCACCGAAACCAAAAUCUGAACAAUUGAACCAUGCGUGUGACCUGGUCUUAGUCCCAGCCUUGUCACGGAGUCCUGAGACAUGUUGAUCAGCUUUGUGAUUUUGCCUUGGUCUCGUGCUCAGUUUUAUUUUCAAAGUCUUGUACUAAGUCUGUGGUUCUAAAACUUUGGAGCGCUUCAGAACCAUCUGGAGGGUUUGUUUCCUAAAGGAAAUUGCUGAGGCAUAAACCAGAACUUUAGAUUCAGUCAUCCUGGGCCGGACUAGAGAAACUGUAGCAAUGGU
rnacentral:lncRNA from 1 species